rnacentral:miRNA from 1 species
UGGAGUAAUUUUAACUCCUUAAGUGGAGUUGUUUUUACUCCUUGAAGAGUAAGAACAACUCUACUUAAGGAGUAAAAAUUACUCCAAA